rnacentral:rRNA from 1 species
GAUGAACGCUGGCGGCGUGCCUAAUACAUGCCAGUAGAACGCUGAAGGAAGGAGCUUGCUCUUUCCGGAUGAGUUGCGAACGGGUGAGUAACGCGUAGGUAACCUGCCUGGUAGCGGGGGAUAACUAUUGGAAACGAUAGCUAAUACCGCAUAACAGUAGAUGUUGCAUGAUAUCUACUUAAAAGGUGCAAUUGCACCACUACCAGAUGGACCUGCGUUGUAUUAGCUAGUUGGUGAGGUAACGGCUCACCAGGGCGACGAUACAUAGCCGACCUGAGAGGGUGAUCGGCCACACUGGGACUGAGACACGGCCCAGACUCCUACGGGAGGCAGCAGUAGGGAAUCUUCGGCAAUGGACGGAAGUCUGACCGAGCAACGCCGCGUGAGUGAAGAAGGUUUUCGGAUCGUAAAGCUCUGUUGUAAGAGAAGAACGAGUGUGAGAGUGGAAAGUUCACACUGUGACGGUAUCUUACCAGAAAGGGACGGCUAACUACGUG